CGCUGAGGAACAAGAGCUGUUUUCUGGGCCCAGAACCUGCUCUGUCCCAUGUUUAAUUUCUUCCAUCUGUCUGGUAUCUGACCUCUGCUGCCCCCGAAGCCAUUGCCACACAUUGUCUGCCUGUGUUCCCAUAUAAGGCCAUCUCUCUCUCUCCCUCCCUCUCGUCCUCUCCCUCUCUCCCUCUCUUUCUCAGGGUUGGAUAGCAACACCACUCGCUUCCUCCACCCUGCUUUCCCUCCCUCCCUCCGCCUGCCCUGGCAUCCUCUGCUGCCAGGAUGGACAGCGGCUGAGAGCGGGAAGGGGCAGGGGGCUGCCAAAGAAUGCAGCAGGUUUAUUUUUAUUCAAGCUGCAUUCUUCGCCUGCCCUGCAGGCCUCAGCCACUUGGGGAUGUCACAUGCCGAUAAGCCGGGGCUGAGGGGUGGGGGGAUGGUGCACGAGUGAGAUCCCUCGAUCAAAUCUACCACACCCCAGGUGUGAGCCAUCGUCAUGGAGUUGGGGUGGAGGGAAGGGAGCAAGCAGGGACACUGAGGUCAUGGGAUUCGCCUGUUCCAGUUGCUCUGCCUCCGGUUCCCAGAAGUUUGGUUUUUCUGAGAAGCAAAGGCAGGGACUGAGAUCGCAACCACCACCGAGGCCCAACUCUGGGCAAAACUCAGCACCUGCCAGGACACGGGGUGAAUCCAGAUCUGGUGCUCACCCUUUUGGCCUAGACUUUUGUCUUAGAGUUUCUGUUGCUGUGAAGAGACACCAUGACCAUGGCAACUCUUAUAAAGGAAAACAUUUCA